rnacentral:rRNA from 1 species
UGGACUCAGAACGAACGCUGGCGGACGUGGAUAAGACAUGCAAGUCAACGGGAUAUUUUUGUAGCAAUACAGAAGUAAUUCAGUGGCGAACGGGUGCGUAACACGUGGCAAUCUGCCGAAAAGUGGGGGAUAGCUCGCCGAAAGGCGAAUUAAUACCGCAUGUGGUGAGGGACGACAUCUUCCUGAAUCCAAAGCCGGGGUAACCUGGCGCUUUUUGAGGAGCCCGCGGCCUAUCAGCUAGUUGGCGGGUAACGGCCCACCAAGGCUAUGACGGGUAGCUGGUCUGAGAGGACGACCAGUCACACUGGAACUGAGACACGGUCCAGACACCUACGGGUGGCAGCAGUCGAGAAUUUUUCUCAAUGGGCGAAAGCCUGAAGGAGCGACGCCGCGUGGAGGAUGAAGGCUUUCGGGUUGUAAACUCCUGUCAUUUGAGAACAAGGUGCGAGUAUUAACUGUGCUCGCAUUGAUAGUAUCAGAAGAGGAAGGGACGGCUAACUCUGUG